rnacentral:rRNA from 1 species
UACGGAGGAGGCAAGCGUUAUCCGGAAUUAUUGGGCGUAAAGCGUCCGCAGGUGGCACUUUAAGUCUGUCGUCAAAGACUGGGGCUUAACCCUGGAAAGGCGGUGGAAACUGGAGCGCUAGAGUGCGGUAGGGGUAGAGGGAAUUCCCGGUGUAGCGGUGAAAUGCGUAGAGAUCGGGAAGAACAUCGGUGGCGAAGGCGGCCUGCUGGGCAGUUGCUGACACUGAGGCGCGACAGCGUGGGGAGCAAACAGG